UUCAUGAAGGCCAUAGAAGAGCAAUUUAUCAGCUCUGAUAAAGCAUUGGCUAGCACCCUGAUGAAAAUGCUUUCAGACAUGAAGCAUAACGGUUCUAAAGGUGUGUGCGAACACAUUAUGGAAAUGCGGAAAAUUGCUGCUCAACUCAGAGGUUUAGAUAUAGAGAUUUCAGAGUCAUUUUUGGUACAUUGUAUUUUGAACUCUCUUCCUAAGGAAUAUGGUCCUUUUAAAAUUUUCUAUAACACAUAAGGAAAAAUGGUCGAUUAAUGAACUCUUGACCAUGUGUGUUCAGGAGGAAGAGAGAUUAAAGCAUGAGACUCUUGAAGUUGCUAAUUUAGCACUUCAAAAAAAAGGAAAAACUCAUAAAGAAAAAGGUGUCUUUAAAGGAAGAAUGCUAAAGUGUCUUUCAAGUGUGAAGGCAAUAAGGUUGCAUGCUUCUAAUGCAAGAAAAAUGGACACAUGAAGAAGGUUUGUGCCAAAUAUAGAAAGUGGCUCGAGAAGAAAGGGCUUCCUCUCCCUAAGGAAACCAACGACAAGUGAACAAUGCAUCUAUUCGGAAAUGGGAUGAGUUCAUCAGUCGAAGGAGUUGGAACAUUUAGAUUAGUUUUGCAUUUUGGUUAUGUUUUGGAUCUAGAAAGAACUUUUUAUAUUCCAUCUUUUUCUAGAAAUUUGAUUUCUGUUUCAAGACUGUUGUCAUUUAGUUAUGAAUUCAAUUUCAGUAAUAAGAAAUUUGUUUUGAUGAAAAA